CUCAGGAGUUCGAGACCAGCCUGAGCAAGAGCAAGACCCCAUCUCUAUUAAAAAAAAAAUGAAAAUAAAACCAAUGAGACAAUAACUACACACAUAUGGAAAGGGCUGAAAAAAAAAAGACGACUGGCCAUAUGAAGUGUUGGCAGGUAUGUAGUGGAACUGAAACUCUCAUGUAUAUAACAGGAAACAACCAUUUGGAUUAAAGUUUGGAAAGUCCUAAAAUAUUAAACAUUCAUUCAAUUCAAGCAUUUAUAGCAGCUUUAUUUGUAAUAUACAAAAUGUAUAAAUAACACAAAUGUCCCUAAACAACUGAUGAUGAAUAGCUGACUUAACUACAGGACGGAAUGCUACUCAUCAAUAAAAAUAACUACUCAGAUAAGCAUCACUGUUGAAUCUCAUCUUAAAAUAAUUAUAUAGCAUGAGAAAAACCAGUUUUUUAAAAAAUAUAUACAAACUUAAAAUUCUGGAAAAUGCAAACUAAUGUAAAGGAAAUCAAUGAUGUUUGGACAUCUGGGAAAGGCAGGGAGAGAGAUAAUAAAAUGGCACAAGGUAAAUAUAUGGAUGACAGAUUAAUUUUCAUGAUUAUUAUGAUGGUUUCAUAGCUUUACCAAAUUGUACCCUUUGGAUAAGUACACUUAGUUGCAUAUUAAUUAUAUAAAUUAUAUCUUUCAUAAAGCUUUACAAAGUGGCUCAAAAUUAAGAAUGUAAUGCCCCGUUUGUUUUUUUGGAAAGUCAGGUUGGUGACCUCACAUAGACUGCACCAACUUUCUCUUCAUGCCCUGGAAGAGGCAACCUUAUCUUGGUGGCAGCAAAUACUGUGUGAAUCUGCUGGUGCUGAACAAGAAUGUUCUUGAAGAUACAUUCUGCUCAGAGGUUAUCAUCUCAUUCUCUGCUCCAUGGCAAUAACCUGAAAUCAGAGAAGUGCUGAUGAAAUGUGUGUUGACUUUGGUGGGAGGGGGGAAAAAUCUAUCACAAAAAUGUGUGAGAUACAAGUAAUUCGUCUGUGGGACUGUAUGGAGAACAAGAGAACCAGGGGAAGAUUGAAGAAUAUAGGCUGCUUUGAAGUACUGAGCCUUUGAAGAUUAUAGAAUAGGAGAGACCUCACCAGACAAAGAACACAAGGAUGGGUACAGUAUGUGAGAAGCAGGGUCUCCAACUCACUCUCUGCCAAAAGCCUUCAGCAGGACCUUGUUUGCAUGGCGUGUGUGCGCCAUGCAGGUUGCUGGUGUCCAGUCCCAUGAAAAUCCAACUGGAACUAAAUAGCUGGUGAUCAAGGAGUAUUUGAGGAUGUGUGCACACCUCACAACAUUGAAUCAAACUGAAGAACACUAUAGAGUGAGUGGUGGAGAGGAACAAGUGAUGUGUAGAGGUCACAAGGGUGGAGGAGCCAGAAGCUGGAAGUGACAGAUGGUAAAAUAAGUUGGCAAAGCAUUAAGUAUAGGGGAGUGGAAAUAAAAAUGAGUUACGGCCAGUGA